UACGUAGGGGGCAAGCGUUGUCCGGAUUUAUUGGGCGUAAAGAGCGUGUAGGCGGCCUGAAAGGUCAGCUGUGAAAGCCCAGGGCUCAACCCUGGAAGUGCACUGGAUACGACGGAGCUGGAGUACUGAAGAGGAGAGCGGAAUUCCCGGUGUAGAGGUGAAAUUCGUAGAUAUCGGGAGGAACACCAGUGGCGAAGGCGGCUCUCUGGGCAGAUACUGACGCUGAGACGCGAAAGCAUGGGGAGCAAACAGG
rnacentral:rRNA from 1 species